GCCCGUCGCUCCUACCGAUUGGAUGACUCGGUGAAAUCACCGGAUGCUUACGAGCAGAAAGUGAUUAAAUCACGUUAUCUAGAGGAAGGAGAAGUCGUAACAAGGUAACGGUAGGUGAACCUGCCGUUGGAUCAGUUCUAGUUUUAAUAACUAACACCAACUUCUUUUAUUAAACAAAAACCAAUACAAAAUUAAAAACUAACUUCAUCAAAAACCAAGUCUCUAAGCAAUGGAUGUCUUGGCUCCUCACACGAUGAAGAACGUGGCAUAAUGUGUUAAGUAACCGGAGUUGCAAACAUCAUGACAGGUUAAUCUUUGAAUGCAAAUGCGCUAAACUC
rnacentral:rRNA from 1 species